rnacentral:rRNA from 1 species
CUGACUGCUAUCGGAUUGAUACUAAGCCAUGCGAGUCAUUGUAGCAAUACAAGGCAGACGGCUCAGUAACGCGUAGUCAAUCUACCCUAUGGACGGGAAUAACCUCGGGAAACUGAGAAUAAUGCCCGAUAGAACAUUAUGCCUGGAAUGGUUUAUGUUUCAAAUGAUUUAUCGCCAUAGGAUGGGACUGCGGCCUAUCAGUUUGUUGGUGAGGUAAUGGCCCACCAAGACUAUUACAGGUACGGGCUCUGAGAGGAGUAGCCCGGAGAUGGGUACUGAGACACGGACCCAGGCCCUAUGGGGCGCAGCAGGCGAGAAAACUUUGCAAUGUGCGAAAGCACGACAAGGUUAAUCCGAGUGGUUUCUGCUAAAGAAACCUUUUAUCAGUCCUAGAAACACUAAUGAAUAAGGGGUGGGCAAGUUCUGGUGUCAGCCGCCGCGGUAAAACCAGCACCUCAAGUGGUCAGGAUGAUUAUUGGGCCUAAAGCAUCCGUAGCUCGUUUUGUAAGUUUUCGGUUAAAUCCAUGCGCUUAACGUAUGGGCUGCCGGGAAUACUGCAUAACUAGGAAGUGGGAGAGGUAGACGGUACUCGGUAGGAAGGGGUAAAAUCCUUUGAUCUAUUGAUGACCACCUGUGGCGAAGGCGGUCUACCAGAACACGUUCGACGGUGAGGGAUGAAAGCUGGGGGAGCAAACCGGAUUAGAUACCCGGGUAGUCCCAGCUGUAAACUAUGCAAACUCAGUGAUGCAUUGGCUUGUGGCCAAUGCAGUGCUGCAGGGAAGCCGUUAAGUUUGCCGCCUGGGAAGUACGUACGCAAGUAUGAAACUUAAAGGAAUUGGCGGGGGAGCACCACAAGGGGUGAAGCCUGCGGUUCAAUUGGAUUCAACGCCGGAAA